UACGAGGGGGGCAAAUGUUGUUCGGAAUCACUGGGCGUAAAGGGAGCGUAGGCGGGCUCUUAAGUUAGGUGUUUAAUCCCGGGGCCCAACCCCGGACAGGCACCUAAAACUGGGAGUCUUGAAUAGUGGAGAGGUCGGCGGAAUUGGGGGUGUAGCGGUGGAAUGCGUAGAGAUCCCCAAGAACACCAGUUGCGAAGGCGGCCGACUGGACACAUAUUGACGCUGAGGCUCGAAAGCAUGGGGAGCAAACAGG
rnacentral:rRNA from 1 species